rnacentral:rRNA from 1 species
GAUGAACGCUGGCGGCGUGCCUAAUACAUGCAAGUCGAGCGAACAGACGAGGAGCUUGCUCCUCUGACGUUAGCGGCGGACGGGUGAGUAACACGUGGAUAACCUACCUAUAAGACUGGGAUAACUUCGGGAAACCGGAGCUAUACCGGCUAAUAUAUUGACCCGCAUGGUUCAAUAGUGAAAGACGGUUUUGCUGUCACUUAUAGAUGGAUCCGCGCCGCAUUAGCUAGGUGGUAAGGUAACGGCUUACCAAGGCAACGAUGCGUAGCCGACCUGAGAGGGUGAGCGGCCACACUGGAACUGAGACACGUUCCAGAAUCCUACGGGAGGCAGCAGUAGGGAAUCUUCAGCAAUGGGCGAAAGUCUGACGAAGCAACGCAGCGUGAGUGAUGAAGGUCUUCGAAUCGUAAAACUCUGUUAUUAGGGAAGAACAAAUGUGUAAGUAACUAUGCACGUCUUGACGGGACCUAAUCAGAAAGCCACGGCUAACUACGUG